AUGAUGCGUCGCCCCGGCGCGCCGACGAGUGCCCGCGCUGUCUGGCUUGUCCCUGGCACCUCAGAUCUGAGUGCCGUCGAGACAUCUGCUGCAGACGCUGCCGUUUCUUUGGCCAUGUCGCUCGGUUCUGCACCACCCCGCUACCUCGUCGUCCGUCUGGCUCCGCCACCGAAGCGCUCGCUCCACCUCUCUCCCGGGUCCUCCGAUGCGAGCGUUGCCGGACCGAACGGCCCCGCGUCCUCCGGGGCCGCGUCCAUGCCCUCCUCGCUCGUGCUGCCGGCCGGGACCUCCCGGCCUUCCUCCUCCCGCGGAGCGUUGGUCCCCUCAUCGGCCUCGCCAUCCCUGGCUCCCCCGACGGGCUCCAGCUCUUCUGCGGCGACCGCCUCCCCCCUCUCGGGGCAUCCUUCGCUCCGCCCUGCCGGCGCGGUAUGCUACUUGCCAUGGUCUGCGGCAAUGGAGUCUGCCGAGGACGCGCUCCAGUCCCUUGCUCUGCUUGCCGAGCCUGCCGGCAACCGCAGGGGCAUCUCCCCUGGCGAGGUCUACGAGGCUCUCCAGGCACAUUUUAACCUUCCGCUGGAUGAGUUCUUCGUCCACCGCCACCACCCCGGUGAUUUCCUCAUCCGCUUCCGCUCCCGUGAGUCUCGUGCACGUGUGGCGGCCACGAGCUUGCGUUCCCCGUGCUUCCGGCUACGCUUCACCCCCUGGAGCCCCAUCUCCUCAUCGAGAUCCGCGGCAUCCCGGAUGACGCAUGGGAUCGCUCCUCCUCUGACAUCCUGCUGGCCCCCUUCUGCCUCAUUGAGGACCUCGCCCCGGAAACGCGCUCCGGCCGCGACAUGUAUGUGUUCCGCCUCUCCGUCUGGACGGCCAACCCCGAUGGCAUCCCACGUUCGUCCGAGCUACUCCUGCCGUCGUGGGAUAGCCUUGCGCUGGAUGCUGACCCAGAUCGUGUAUCACGCUUCGCGCGCUCCCUUGUUUGGUUCCCGUUGUCGAUCCACGUCUCGAAGACCCACGACUACCGCCUUCCGUCCCCACCGCCGCCCCCUCCCCCGACCGGGGCUGAUGGUGAUGACCCUGGCUCGCCGCCGGUCCCCGGCCCCUGGCCUCGGCGUUACGAGUUCCCUCCCCGACGAUCUCCUGGCGCCUCAUGACGCUCUGGUCGUGGUGACGCAGCCUGUCCCCUCGGCCGCCGGCCGCCUCCUCAUCGUGGUUGGCAGGGGGUGCUGGGCCGCACCCCGAUGCCUCCCCGCCCAUGCCUUGGAUCCCCGCCUCCCAAAGGUUGGGUCCGACAUCGCUUUUGGAUAA
rnacentral:rRNA from 1 species